rnacentral:rRNA from 1 species
CCUACGGGAGGCAGCAGUGAGGAAUAUUGGUCAAUGGGCGCGAGCCUGAACCAGCCAAGUAGCGUGAAGGAUGACUGCCCUACGGGUUGUAAACCUCUUUUAUAAAGGAGUAAAGUGAGGCACGUGUGCCUCUUUGUAUGUACUUUAUGAAUAAGGAUCGGCUAACUCCGUGCCAGCAGCCGCGGUAAUACGGAGGAUCCGAGCGUUAUCCGGAUUUAUUGGGUUUAAAGGGAGCGUAGAUGGGUUGUUAAGUCAGUUGUGAAAGUUUGCGGCUCAACCGUAAAAGUGCAAUUGAUACUGGCAGUCUAGAGUACACUUGAGGUAGGCGGAAUGCGUGGUGUAGCGGUGAAAUGCUUAGAUAUCACGAAGAACUCCGAUUGCGAAGGCAGCUUACUAAACUGCCACUGACAUUGAUGCUCGAAAGUGUGGGUAUCAAACAGGAUUAGAUACCCCUGUAGUC